AUCCUUUCUUUUCAAAUGAAAAUGAUGAUUGGGUUUGUCACGCUUUAAUUGUGUGAGAUGUGUCUCCUUUUUGUUACGUGCCGACACAUUACCCAUCUGAUU